rnacentral:ncRNA from 1 species
AGACGCUGGAAAGAGGCGGGUUUUCGACCGCAGCCUCGCCGAAGGAGCAAGCGGCUUUCGGGCUGCGGAAUCUCUCAGGCGCCAAGACAGCGGGGGC